rnacentral:miRNA from 1 species
GGCAGAAACGGGCAGAGCUCC